AGACUUACCUGGCAGGGGAGAUGCCAUGAUCACGAAGGUGGUUUUCCCAGAGUGAGGCUCAUCUAUUGCACUCUGGAUGUGCUGACCCCUGCAAUUUCCCCAAAUGUGGGAAACAACUGCACACUUUAUGGCAGUGGGGGACCGUGUUCACACUUUCCCUUG
ensembl:snRNA U1 U1 spliceosomal RNA